rnacentral:sRNA from 1 species
CAUCAUCGUCAUGUACAAUUGAUGAUUC